UACGUAGGGUGCAAGCGUUGUCCGGAAUUAUUGGGCGUAAAGAGCUCGUAGGCGGUCUGUCGCGUCUGCUGUGAAAACUCAGGGCUUAACCCUGAGCUUGCAGUGGGUACGGGCAGACUAGAGUGCGGUAGGGGAGACUGGAAUUCCCGGUGUAGCGGUGAAAUGUGUAGAGAUCGGGAGGAACACCGGUGGCGAAGGCGGGUCUCUGGGCAAUUCCUGACGCUGGAGGCGCGAAAGCGUGGGGAGCAAACGGG
rnacentral:rRNA from 1 species